UACGGGGGGAGCAAGCGUUGUUCGGAUUUACUGGGCGUAAAGGGCGCGUAGGCGGCCACCGCAAGUCGGUUGUGAAAUCUCCGGGCUUAACCCGGAAAGGUCAAUCGAUACUGCGGGGCUAGAGUGCAGAAGGGGCAACUGGAAUUCUCGGUGUAGCGGUGAAAUGCGUAGAUAUCUGGAGGAAUACCGGUGGCGAAGGCGGCAUCCUGGACCGGCAUUGACGCUGAGUGAGCGAAAGCCAGGGGAGCAAACGGG
rnacentral:rRNA from 1 species